rnacentral:rRNA from 1 species
AUUGAACGCUGGCGGCAGGCCUAACACAUGCAAGUCGGGCGGCAGCGGGAAAGUAGCUUGCUACUUUUGCCGGCGAGCGGCGGACGGGUGAGUAAUGCCUGGGAAAUUGCCCAGUCGAGGGGGAUAACAGUUGGAAACGACUGCUAAUACCGCAUACGCCCUACGGGGGAAAGCAGGGGACCUUCGGGCCUUGCGCGAUUGGAUAUGCCCAGGUGGGAUUAGCUAGUUGGUGAGGUAAUGGCUCACCACGGCGACGAUCCCUAGCUGGUCUGAGAGGAUGAUCAGCCACACUGGAACGGAGACACGGUGCAGACUCCUACGGGAGGCAGCAGUGGGGAAUAUUGCACAAUGGGGGAAACCCUGAUGCAGCCAUGCCGCGUGUGUGAAGAAGGCCUUCGGGUUGUAAAGCACUUUCAGCGAGGAGGAAAGGUUGAUGCCUAAUACGUAUCAACUGUGACGUUACUCGCAGAAGAAGCACCGGCUAACUCCGUGCCAGCAGCCGCCGUAAUAC